UGGUGUAACUAGAUCAUUUUUUUUCUCUAUAUUUGCAGCCUCUAGGCUGUUUCAUUAAAUUAUUCCAUUUGAAAUAACAAUAAUAGGUAGAACGUCAGUUUUGCUUAAAUAAAAUGUUAACACAAUUUGGUCAUUCCCAUUAAACUUGCCAUAAACUACGUUGAAAGCUAACAUGUAUUGUUGUUUUUAAUAUAACACUGUGUUCUUGACAGUAUUGACCAACAUUUGAUAAAAUAACAUUUAUUUUACACACUUGAAUUUUAUUGUAGUUACAUAGUGUUUUGUUGUACUUUUUUUCACAUUUAAUGUUAUAGACAGGCAGUAUUUGCAUUUGGUCACAAUUUUGCGUAGUGUUUU